ACGUAGGUGGCAAGCGUUGUCCGGAAUUAUUGGGCGUAAAGCGCGCGCAGGCGGUCCUUUAAGUCUGAUGUGAAAGCCCACGGCUCAACCGUGGAGGGUCAUUGGAAACUGGGGGACUUGAGUGCAGAAGAGGAAAGUGGAAUUCCACGUGUAGCGGUGAAAUGCGUAGAGAAGUGGAGGAACACCAGUGGCGAAGGCGACUGCCUGGGGAGUAACUGACGCUGAGGCGCGAAAGCUGGGGGAGCAAACGGGA
rnacentral:rRNA from 1 species